rfam:Schistosoma mansoni, Puerto Rico, WGS project CABG01000000 data, contig: 0010
GCACUGCUGAGGAGUUCCACAAUAGGACGAAACGGUAGUCCAGUGU